rfam:Novibacillus thermophilus strain SG-1, complete genome.
CCCCAUAUACCGUCAAUGCCGUAGACUGCAGGGGCGCUAAGCUUAAACCUCUACCCUGCCGAGGCGUGUGGAGCAGUUUGAACGUUUGCUUUCUGCAGCCUCCGUAUGUCUUACGGAGGCUUUUCAUAUGCCGUG